rnacentral:rRNA from 1 species
AUUGAACGCUGGCGGAAUGCUUUACACAUGCAAGUCGAGCGGCAGCGCGGGGCAACCUGGCGGCGAGCGGCGAACGGGUGAGUAACACAUCGGAACGUACCCUGUUGUGGGGGAUAGCCCGGCGAAAGCCGGAUUAAUACCGCAUAAGACCUGAGGGUGAAAGCGGGGGACCGCAAGGCCUCGCGCGACAGGAGCGGCCGAUGGCGGAUUAGCUAGUUGGUGGGGUAAAGGCUCACCAAGGCGACGAUCCGUAGCUGGUCUGAGAGGAUGAUCAGCCACACUGGAACUGAGACACGGUCCAGACUCCUACGGGAGGCAGCAGUGGGGAAUUUUGGACAAUGGGGGCAACCCUGAUCCAGCCAUUCCGCGUGAGUGAAGAAGGCCUUCGGGUUGUAAAGCUCUUUCGGCAGGAACGAAACGGUGGGCUCUAACAUAGUCUGCUAAUGACGGUACCUGAACAAGACGCACCGGCUAACUACGUGCCAGCAGCCGCGGUAAUACGUAGGGUGCGAGCGUU